rnacentral:rRNA from 1 species
CCUACGGGUGGCUGCAGUCGAGAAUCAUUCACAAUGGGGGAAACCCUGAUGGUGCGACGCCGCGUGGGGGAAUGAAGGUCUUCGGAUUGUAAACCCCUGUCAUGUGGGAGCAAAUUAAAAAGAUAGUACCACAAGAGGAAGAGACUGCUAACUCUGUGCCAGCAGCCGCGGUAAUACAGAGGUCGCAAGCGUUGUUCGGAAUCACUGGGCGUAAGGCGUGCGUAGGCUGUUUCGUAAGUCGUGUGUGAAAGGCGCGGGCUCAACCCGCGGACGGCACAUGAUACUGCGAGGCUAGAGUAAUGGAGGGGGAACCGGAAUUCUCGGUGUAGCAGUGAAAUGCGUAGAUAUCGAGAGGAACACUCGUGGCGAAGGCGGGUUCCUGGACAUUAACUGACGCUGAGGCACGAAGGCCAGGGGAGCGAAAGGGAUUAGAUACCCCUGUAGUC